UACGAAGGGGGCUAGCGUUGUUCGGAGUUACUGGGCGUAAAGGGCGCGUAGGCGGCUGGGGAAGUCGGCGGUGAAAGCCCGGAGCUCAACUCCGGGUCGGCCGUCGAGACUCCUCGGCUCGAGCUCACUAGAGGCAGAUGGAAUUCCGGGUGUAGCGGUGGAAUGCGUAGAGAUCCGGAAGAACACCGGUGGCGAAGGCGGUCUGCUGGGGUGAGGCUGACGCUGAUGCGCGACAGCGUGGGGAGCAAACAGG
rnacentral:rRNA from 1 species